rnacentral:rRNA from 1 species
GACAGAGGUGCCGAGCGUUAGGCGGAAUCACUGGGCUUAAAGCGUGUGUAGGCGGACUUCUAAGUACCUUGUGAAAUCCCCCGGCUCAACCGGGGAACUGCGGGGCAUACUGCGGGUCUUGAGGAAGGUAGGCGCCGAGGGAACAGUAGGUGGAGCGGUGAAAUGCGUAGAUAUCUACUGGAACGCCGAUGGUGAAGACGCUCGGCUGGGCCUUUCCUGACGCUGAGGCACGAAAGCGUGGGGAGCAAACAGG